AGUGAACGCUGGCGGUAGGCCUAACACAUGCAAGUCGAACGGCAGCACAGGAGAGCUUGCUCUCUGGGUGGCGAGUGGCGGACGGGUGAGGAAUACAUCGGAAUCUACUUUUUCGUGGGGGAUAACGUAGGGAAACUUACGCUAAUACCGCAUACGACCUACGGGUGAAAGCAGGGGAUCUUAGGACCUUGCGCGAUUCAAUGAGCCGAUGUCGGAUUAGCUAGUUGGCGGGGUAAAGGCCCACCAAGGCGAAGAUCCGUAGCUGGUCUGAGAGGAUGAUCAGCCACACUGGAACUGAGACACGGUCCAGACUCCUACGGGAGGCAGCAGUGGGGAAUAUUGGACAAUGGGCGCAAGCCUGAUCCAGCCAUACCGCGUGGGUGAAGAAGGCCUUCGGGUUGUAAAGCCCUUUUGUUGGGAAAGAAAUCCAGCUGGUUAAUACCCGGUUGGGAUGACGGUACCCAAAGAAUAAGCACCGGCUAACUUCGUGCCAGCAGCCGCGGUAA
rnacentral:rRNA from 1 species